AUUGAACGCUGGCGGCAUGCCUUACACAUGCAAGUCGAACGGCAGCACGGGGGGUAACCCCUGGUGGCGAGUGGCGAACGGGUGAGUAAUAUAUCGGAACGUGUCCUGUAGCGGGGGAUAACCUAUCGAAAGAUGGACUAAUACCGCAUACGACCUACGGGUGAAAGCGGAGGACCGCAAGGCUUCGCACUAUAGGAGCGGCCGAUAUCGGAUUAGCUAGUUGGCGGGGUAACGGCCCACCAAGGCGACGAUCCGUAGCUGGUCUGAGAGGACGAUCCGCCACACUGGAACUGAGACACGGUCCAGACUCCUACGGGAGGCAGCAGUGGGGAAUUUUGGACAAUGGGCGCAAGCCUGAUCCAGCCAUGCCGCGUGAGUGAAGAAGGCCUUCGGGUUGUAAAGCUCUUUCGGCGGGGACGAAACGGUUCGUGCUAAUACCACGGACUACUGACGGUACCCGCAGAAGAAGCACCGGCUAACUACGUG
rnacentral:rRNA from 1 species